ensembl:lncRNA
GUGCCUUCUCUCAACGAGCUGUUGUCUCUCUCCUCCAGACCUGCGUGGCUCCGGGGUUCUCAGGGCAGCUUCCUGCUGCAGAGCAGAGCUGGGGGGCGAUGGGUCAGAGCCCAGGGAGGGAUGACGCUGCUGCUGUGUUCCUCUACCGAAACAACACCUAGCUCGGUGAACUCCGGCUCUCCUGCUGUUAUCCGUAGCGAUUAAGGAGCACAUCCCCGCGCUCUGAAUCACCGCCAGGACGAUAUCGCUCCUUAAUUCCCUCUUCCCUCUGCUGCCCCGCGGGCUCGC